AUUGAACGCUGGCGGCAGGCCUAACACAUGCAAGUCGAGCGGAUGAAGGGAGCUUGCUCCUGGAUUCAGCGGCGGACGGGCGAGUAAUGCCUAGGAAGCUGCCUUGUAUUGGGGGAUAACGUCCGGAAACGGGCGCGAAUAUCGCAUACGUCCUGAUGUAGAAAGGCGGGGAUCUUCGGACCUCACGCUAUCAGAUGAGCCUAAGUCGGAUUAGCUAGUUGGUAGGGUAAAGGCCUACCAAGGCGACGAUCCGUAACUGGUCUGAGAGGAUGAUCAGUCACACUGGAACUGAGACACGGUCCAGACUCCUACGGGAGGCAGCAGUGGGGAAUAUUGGACAAUGGGCGAAAGCCUGAUCCAGCCAUGCCGCGUGUGUGAAGAAGGUCUUCGGAUUGUAAAGCACUGUUAGUUGGGAAGAAGAACAGUGAAUGAAUACAUUCAUGUCUUGACGUUACCUAAAGAAUAAGCACCGGCUAACUACGUG
rnacentral:rRNA from 1 species